UUGAUCCUGGCUCAGGAUGAACGCUAGCGGCAGGCUUAACACAUGCAAGUCGAGGGGUAUAGUUCUUCGGAAUUAGAGACCGGCGCACGGGUGCGUAACGCGUAUGCAAUCUACCUUUUACAGAGGGAUAGCCCAGAGAAAUUUGGAUUAAUACCUCAUAGUAUAAUGACUUGGCAUCAAGACAUUAUUAAAGUCACAACGGUAAAAGAUGAGCAUGCGUCCCAUUAGCUAGUUGGUAAGGUAACGGCUUACCAAGGCUACGAUGGGUAGGGGUCCUGAGAGGGAGAUCCCCCACACUGGUACUGAGACACGGACCAGACUCCUACGGGAGGCAGCAGUGAGGAAUAUUGGACAAUGGGCGCAAGCCUGAUCCAGCCAUGCCGCGUGCAGGAUGACGGUCCUAUGGAUUGUAAACUGCUUUUAUACGAGAAGAAACACUACUUCGUGAAGUAGCUUGACGGUAUCGUAAGAAUAAGGAUCG
rnacentral:rRNA from 1 species